rfam:Steinernema glaseri strain NC unplaced genomic scaffold GLAS_2868, whole genome shotgun sequence.
CCAACGGCCCUCCUUAGGGCCACAAUCUCUCAAUGAAACAAACCC